rnacentral:misc_RNA from 1 species
GAUGAAGAACGUAGCGAAAUGCGAUACUUGGUGUGAAUUGCAGAAUCCCGUGAACCAUCGAGUCUUUGAACGCAAGUUGCGCCCGAAGCCAUUAGGCCGAGGGCACGCCUGCCUGGGCGUCACACGUCGUUGCCCCCCCAUCUACUCCUUCGGGAUUGCGGGGGGCGGAUGAUGGCCUCCCGUGCGCCUCGUCGCGCGGUUGGCAUAAAUGCCAAGUCCUCGGCGACGCACGCCACGACAAUCGGUGGUUGCGAAACCUCGGUUGCCCGUCGUGUGCGGUCGUCGCGCAUCGAGGGCUCGAAAAAUUGUCGGGCUCCGGCUCGGCUUUCAACGCGACCCCAGGUCAGGCGGGGUUACCCGCUGAAUUUAAGCAUAUCAAUAAGCGGAGGA